rnacentral:lncRNA from 1 species
CAGAAGAGGACUCACUGGCCCUCUCUUUUUCUUCCUUUCUUUCUUCCUUUCUUUCUCUCCUCCUUUUUCUUUCUUUUUCUUCCCUUCACACACAGGCUAGGGAUCCAAGAAGACCAACUUUUCUGCCUCUGCUGAUGCUUUUCAUCCUCAAAGGAGGGGAGGGGGUUUCACAGGAUAAGAAGGAUUCUCUACAAAUGUGCAUAACAGUGCACAGUUUUGAGUUAGGCCCCUGCUAGCUACCCCAAGAAAGGAAUCACAUGCUUUUCCUUUCAAGCUAUUACCAUCUUCAUCCUUCUGCAGGAGCUCUGGACAGCCACCUUGGCCACGGCUCUCCUCUGUCCUCUUUGGAUAAAGGGACAAGCCAUCUUUCUAAAUUCCAGUCCUCUCUGAUCCUUCCUGCUUUCCCUCCCAAACAGCUGGUGCUGUCAACAUCUGUUAGGGGUAUUAGUGGAAGACAACAGGCUUCAGCCCUGCAUAAAGCCUGUAUAGUGACAGGAGGAAAGAAACCCAGCGCAGUUCGAUCCUGACCUAGGCACAGGCCCUUACUGGAAUAACUUUAGGAUUCAAGCUUCACAGGGGAGACUGUGCAUCAAGAAGAAAGGAAACCAGAAAUUCUCAUCCUAGCUGCCUGGAGGCCAGUAUUCAGAUGAAGAUAUAGAACUCUCAGCUCCUGCACCGUGCCUGCCUGGAUGCUGCCAUGUCCCCGCCUUGAUAAUAACGGACUGCACAUCUGAAGCU